CCUACGGGAGGCAGCAGUGAGGAAUAUUGGUCAAUGGGCGGAAGCCUGAACCAGCCAAGUAGCGUGCAGGAUGACGGCCCUACGGGUUGUAAACUGCUUUUAUACGGGAAUAACGCGCCUUACGUGUAGGGCUUUGCAUGUACCGCAUGAAUAAGGACCGGCUAAUUCCGUGCCAGCAGCCGCGGUAAUACGGAAGGUCCGGGCGUUAUCCGGAUUUAUUGGGUUUAAAGGGAGCGUAGGCCGCAUGUCAAGCGUGCCGUGAAAUGUCCGGGCUCAACCCUGGCCUUGCGGCGCGAACUGGCGUGCUGGAGUGCGCGGAAAGUAGGCGGAAUUCGUCGUGUAGCGGUGAAAUGCUUAGAUAUGACGAAGAACGCCGAUUGCGAAGGCAGCUUGCGGCAGCGGAACUGACGCUGAUGCUCGAAAGCGCGGGUAUCGAACAGGAUUAGAUACCCUAGUAGUC
rnacentral:rRNA from 1 species